rnacentral:rRNA from 1 species
AACGAACGCUGGCGGCAUGCCUAACACAUGCAAGUCGAACGAGACCUUCGGGUCUAGUGGCGCACGGGUGCGUAACGCGUGGGAACCUGCCCUUAGGUUCGGAAUAACUCUCCGAAAGGGGUGCUAAUACCGGAUAAUGUCUUCGGACCAAAGAUUUAUCGCCUUUGGAUGGGCCCGCGUUGGAUUAGCUAGUUGGUAGGGUAAAAGCCUACCAAGGCGACGCUCCAUAGCUGGUCUGAGAGGAUGGUCAGCCACACUGGGACUGAGACACGGCCCAGACUCCUACAGGAGGCAGCAGUGGGUAAUAUUGGACAAUGGGCGAAAUGCUGAUCCAGCAAUGCCGCGUGAGUGAUGAAGGCCUUAGGGUUGUAAAGCUCUUUUACCCGGGAUGAUAAUGACGGUACCGAGAGAAUAAGCUCCGGCUAACUCCGUG